AGAGUUUGAUCAUGGCUCAGAACGAACGCUGGCGGCAUGCCUAACACAUGCAAGUCGAACGAGACCUUCGGGUCUAGUGGCGCACGGGUGCGUAACACGUGGGAAUCUGCCCUUUGGUACGGAAUAACUCAGGGAAACUUGAGCUAAUACCGUAUGAUGCCGCAAGGCCAAAGAUUUAUCGCCAAGGGAUGAGCCCGCGUCGGAUUAGCUAGUUGGUGGGGUAACGGCCCACCAAGGCGACGAUCCGUAGCUGGUCUGAGAGGAUGAUCAGCCACACUGGGACUGAGACACGGCCCAGACUCCUACGGGAGGCAGCAGUGGGGAAUAUUGGACAAUGGGCGAAAGCCUGAUCCAGCAAUGCCGCGUGAGUGAAGAAGGCCUUCGGGUUGUAAAGCUCUUUUACCCGGGAAGAUAAUGACUGUACCGGGAGAAUAAGCCCCGGCUAACUCCGUGCCAGCAGCCGCGGUAAUACGGAGGGGGCAAGCGUUGUUCGGAAUUACUGGGCGUAAAGCGCACGUAGGCGGCCGAUCAAGUCAGAGGUGAAAGCCCAGGGCUCAACCCUGGUGCUGCCUUUGAAACUAGUUGGCUUGAACAUCG
rnacentral:rRNA from 1 species